rnacentral:rRNA from 1 species
UGGGGAAUAUUGCACAAUGGGGGAAACCCUGAUGCAGCGACGCCGCGUGAGCGAUGAAGUAUUUCGGUAUGUAAAGCUCUAUCAGCAGGGAAGAAAAUGACGGUACCUGACUAAGAAGCCCCGGCUAACUACGUGCCAGCAGCCGCGGUAAUACGUAGGGGGCAAGCGUUAUCCGGAUUUACUGGGUGUAAAGGGAGCGUAGACGGAGAGGCAAGUCUGGAGUGAAAGCCCGGGGCUCAACCCCGGGACUGCUUUGGAAACUGUUUUUCUAGAGUGUCGGAGAGGUAAGUGGAAUUCCUAGUGUAGCGGUGAAAUGCGUAGAUAUUAGGAGGAACACCAGUGGCGAAGGCGGCUUACUGGACGAUGCCUGACGUUGAGGCUCGAAAGCGUGGGGAGCAAACAGGAUUAGAUACCC